rnacentral:rRNA from 1 species
AGUCAGAGGCGAUGAAGGACGUGCUAAUCUGCGAUAAGCGUCGGUAAGGUGAUAUGAACCGUUAUAACCGGCGAUUUCCGAAUGGGGAAACCCAGUGUGUUUCGACACACUAUCAUUACGUGAAUACAUAGCGUAAUGAAGCGAACCGGGGGAACUGAAACAUCUAAGUACCCCGAGGAAAAGAAAUCAACCGAGAUUCCCCCA